rnacentral:lncRNA from 1 species
GCUGAGGCUCAGAGAGGUUAAGGCACUUGCUCAAGGUCACACAGCAGAGAGGUUGUGGGUAAGCCAGGCUGCUGGCUUAGAACACUGCCAUGGCAUUUCUCAGAUCACCUCGCUCAGGGACUCCUGGCAGUUCCCCCUGUGUCAUAGCGGUGAGUCUGUCCAGGACGAGCCACUCCAGGCUACCGAGGGCCAGCUGGAGGGCCUGCAGACACUUGCUGUGGAGUCAAGGUCCACACCAUCAGCUGGAAGAGAGGUCUCAGGAGGGGCAUUAGUGUUUGUCCUCGCUGUGAUUGCACCAACUGACAAAUCAGCUGUGGGACAAUGGAAAACACAGCAGCAGCUUGUUACUGAGAAGGGAGGACUCAGGGUGGACCUGACCCCUCUGCAGAUGGCUUGGUGAGAACGUGGCCUGCCCUGUUGGCUCCUCCCUCUGGGUAUUGGAAUUGCUGGGCAGCCAGAGGCUUACCUGGGCUUACUGGCACCCAGGGAGGAGAAGCCCUGAGCUGUGCGGCUGCUGAGGAAGGCUGUCUGCAGGGGAGAGCCCAAGCGCUGAAGGAGGCCAGUGGGCUCAGCCUGAUGUCUCCAUUCUCCUUCCUACAGCAACCAGGGUUCUUUGGAAAGGGUCAAUUGCCCCACCUUACCAGGUAGGGAUGCAGGAGGGAGAGCGAGCCAUUCCUCUAACGUCAGUGACCAUGUCUUGGUUCCAAAACCCCUUAAGCCUUGGGUUGUCUAUCAGCAAAAAGAGAAGGGAUGUGCUCAGGGGGUCUUCGUGGAGAUCCUCUGCUCCCCUCACCUUGAAUGUGGAGAGGGCCCAAGACUCCCUAGGGAAGGCAGUUGAUACAGACUCCAGGUGUGCCCUGCUCUCUCCUCGGCACCACUCUGCAGCACCACAGGCAGUCUGGGGUGCAGAUAACAUCUCUCUGGGCACAGCUUUGCACCAGGGCAUGCUGGGGGUAGAGCCACACUUGCAUGGCCUGUGGAUCCCUGCAGCCUGGGGAUUGGGCUGCUAUUCCCACUGCAGGGAGGGAGGUGGUUGGAGGUAGGGGCUGCUCCUACCUAGGUACUUCUGGCCUCACCAGAAGAAGGGGGAGGGUUUGCACAUUGAGUGGCACCUGCUCCAUCUUUGUCCCUGUAUUUACAUCAUUAUUCUGAAGGCCAAGAGAUUAGACCUGCC